CCUACGGGGGGCUGCAGUGGGGGAUAUUGCACAAUGGGGGGAACCCUGAUGCAGCGACGCCGCGUGGGUGAAGGAGUGCUUCGGCAUGGAAAGCCCUAUCGGCAGGGAACAAGCAUGACGGUACCUGACUAAGAAGCUCCGGCUAACUACGUGCCAGCAGCCGCGGUAAUACGUAGGGGGCGAGCGUUAUCCGGAUUCACUGGGUGUAAAGGGAGCGUAGACGGCCAUGCAAGUCAGGGGUGAAAACCCUGGGCCCAACCACGCGACUGCCAGUGGAAAUGGAAGGUUGGGGUGCGGGAGGAGGCGGGGGAAUUCCUGGGGUAGCGGUGAAAUGGGGAGAUAUCAGGGGGGACCCC
rnacentral:rRNA from 1 species